CUCCUUUGCGCCCGUUCUUCCUCUUCGGCUCCUGAAGGUGUUCGUCCGUGAGGCGGCGGCGUUACUCAGAUUCUGACCUUGAGAGGAACCAGCCCAGCUGUCACAACGCAUUUUUACUGAGCAUCACAGUCCAUAUGUCUUAGUCAGGAGUGGAACACCACAUGCCCCAGUUGAUGCUGGAUGACCUCCCUGGUCGCCAACCUUACAGUUCAGUCACAAAAGCCAGCUCCUUGCAAAGAAGACGCCCCCUCGACCCAUUACAGGUGGUGGCAUCAGAACGCCUCUGGCUAAGAUAACAUUACUGGUGAAGAAUGACACCCACUCCAUUCAUGAAGUUGUUGCAGACCUGGAGAGCUCCUUCAUUUACAGAUUGCUGCAUCUCCGGUGCACAGAAAGUAGUGUUAUCGUAGAUCCUUCUGCCCAGCAGCUAAUGGACUCUAUAACCAUAACUGUUCCCAUAAAAUUUAAUAGGUGUUUAUAUUUCUGCUUUUUGCACAGUUUUUUAUUGUCACAUAUUGUAAACAGUCUUUUGUUUUUAAUGGACAGAUACAUUAAAAACAAAUGCACAUGUAAACAUUGUGCAUUUCUUAAAUGAUCCUACUCAGUUGCAGAUUUCUUUGGAUCAAAGUUUGUUUUUUGAAAAAUAUUUUAUGAUGUAAUUUAACCUUUACUGUACAGUGUGUUAUUCUUAAUUAUGUUUUUACAAAUUUUAUAUUUACAUCUUUGUGUGAAUGUAUAUGCGUUGAUACUUUGUUGCACCUGAAUUUGCCCACUUAAGGAAAAUUUAUAAUAAAAUAUAACAUUUCUAUUCUA